rnacentral:rRNA from 1 species
AGUCGAGCGGAGAUGAGGUGCUUGCACCUUAUCUUAGCGGCGGACGGGUGAGUAAUGCUUAGGAAUCUGCCUAUUAGUGGGGGACAACAUUCCGAAAGGAAUGCUAAUACCGCAUACGUCCUACGGGAGAAAGCAGGGGAUCUUCGGACCUUGCGCUAAUAGAUGAGCCUAAGUCGGAUUAGCUAGUUGGUGGGGUAAAGGCCUACCAAGGCGACGAUCUGUAGCGGGUCUGAGAGGAUGAUCCGCCACACUGGGACUGAGACACGGCCCAGACUCCUACGGGAGGCAGCAGUGGGGAAUAUUGGACAAUGGGGGGAACCCUGAUCCAGCCAUGCCGCGUGUGUGAAGAAGGCCUUAUGGUUGUAAAGCACUUUAAGCGAGGAGGAGGCUACUGAGACUAAUACUCUUGGAUAGUGGACGUUACUCGCAGAAUAAGCACCGGCUAACUCUGUGCCAGCAGCCGCGGUAAUACAGAGGGUGCGAGCGUUAAUCGGAUUUACUGGGCGUAAAGCGUGCGUAGGCGGCUUUUUAAGUCGGAUGUGAAAUCCCCGAGCUUAACUUGGGAAUUGCAUUCGAUACUGGGAAGCUAGAGUAUGGGAGAGGAUGGUAGAAUUCCAGGUGUAGCGGUGAAAUGCGUAGAGAUCUGGAGGAAUACCGAUGGCGAAGGCAGCCAUCUGGCCUAAUACUGACGCUGAGGUACGAAAGCAUGGGGAGCAAACAGGAUUAGAUACCCUGGUAGUCCAUGCCGUAAACGAUGUCUACUAGCCGUUGGGGCCUUUGAGGCUUUAGUGGCGCAGCUA